UAGUAACUAUAUCACAAUUCUAAUUAAUAGCAGAAUAACAGUAUGAUCCUCAUCCUGGAAGACACAGAUUGGCAUUCUUAUAAUUUCUAUAGUAUCAUUUUGUGGAUGAGUUUGUUCUAGCAGCAAUUAUGGUGGGCCAAAGAACUAGCUCUAAGAAUAGAGUAAAUACUAAAUGUGUGAAGAAUGAUAGAGAAAAGAACUGAUGGAUAGAAAAUUGGAUUGUAAAGGGUAAUGGAAUACUGCAGA
rnacentral:misc_RNA from 1 species